GGUAAAGACUGACCCUUGGAGUGCCGUGGGCUGUGACGGACCCGUGUAGGGCUGUCGUUCUCUCCCGCAGCCCGGUCCCGUGUCCCGGCGUCACCGCCAGCGCUCCGGGGCGGAGCGGCCUCGCACGGAAACCCAGCCGGGAAGAGCCGCCUUGUUCCCUGCCUUGUUCCCCGUUCCCAGCGUUGUUCCCGCAUACACACCGGGCGGCUGGAGCGGGAGAGCGUCCUCCACCUGCCGGGAAUGGCUGGGGCGCGGGUCCGGCGGGGGAGCGCCGCCCCGGGGAGAGCGGCAAGGAGCGGUGCGCUGAGCUGCUCACUCACGCAGGGCGAGAGGCACCAAAGCGCAGAGCCAGGGAGCGGGGGUGCCGCAGGGGUGGAAAGAGCCAGCACAUCUCUGUCUCUUACCUCCAGUACAGCUGACUCUUCUGAUCUGCACUUAAUCUGACCCAAGAUAACUGUAAGCAGGAGAGAGCUGGGGAUUCAGUAACAUUGUAUGGGAGACAUGGAUAAAGCACUGGAUCUACACCUUGUUAACCAAAGCAUCACCUAAUCUGGACAGCUGGAAAUGCAGCACUGAGGGCCAUGUUUUAAGAUUAUUAAAUAAAAUGAGUCUCAACUCUC